AGCUUUCCUCCUUCAUCGGAGUAUACACGGCGGUGUCGUCCGGCAGGCUGGGGGAUGGGAGCAGCUGCAGGCAUGGUUGGCUUCAGGCGUGUUUUCCCUGCAAGCCAUGGGCCUCUGGGAAGUGGCCAUUUUACAGAGACAAGGACGUGCUGAGGGGAUCGCCUCACCCAUCUCCCACCGGCUGUGUCCCCAAAGUCCUGCCUUCCCGUAGCUUGGCAUGGAGCACCUCUGCGCGACCAUGGACCUGCUCACACAGCCCUUCUGCGCGCCGUGGGAGCUGCCUCUCUGUGACUCGCCCCCGGACCCACCGCCCCAGCGCCUGACCCACCUCCCUGCCGCCUUUCACAGAAAACUUCUCAUAGACUCCCGUUUUCUCAUCCCGCCCCGACUUAGCCCCCGACUCCCCCCGGAAACUGCCCUUACCCGUCCCCACCUUGCCAGACACGGUGGGCCACUGGAGUUCCUCUGUCUUCUGGGACUUGGCUCUCCCCAGGGGAUCCUCUGCCACUCCUCCACCCAACUCCUCAAUCUUGGAGCGCCAGAGCUCAGCCGAGCUCACCGGCUCCCUAGGGAGCUGGGGCAACUGUUAGCUCCCCCUGACCUGUGUGAUCCCACGUCCAGUGGCUGCCCCGACCUCCGUGCUCCCACGUCCAGGGGCUCCCCCGACCUCCGUGCUCCCACGUCCAGGGGCUCCCCCGACCUCUGUGAUCCCACGUCCGGGGGCUCCCCCGACCUCUGUGCUCCCACGUCCGGGGGCUCCCCCGACCUCCGUGCUCCCACCCCCGACCUCCGUGCUCCCACGUCCGGGGGCUCCCCCGACCUCCGUGCUCCCACGUCCGGGGGCUCCCCCGACCUCCGUGCUCCCACGUCCAGUGGCUCCCCCUGACCUCUGUGCUCUAUGUCCAGUGGCUCCCCCUGACCUCUGUGAUCCUAUGUGCAGCGGCUGCUGGCCUCUCAAACUUAAUGUGUUCAUUGCGGAACUUG
rnacentral:antisense_RNA from 1 species